AAGAUUUCCUAUGGAAUCCUAUCAUCAUUAACCUUUGACAUACACCUGUCAACACCUGUCAACAGCCAUCUG